CGGCGUGCCUGGACUGCCGGCUCUGAACGACGGGCAACCGUAUUCUUCGCAGCAAAUGGCUACCAAUCAGGAACAUGAGUUUGUUUUCGGCUACCAAGAGCAAGUAUUUUCAAGGUCUUGGUGGCAAGCCCCAGCCAAUCAAGGCCAGAAGUUU